GUGCUCACUUUGGUCGCACAUAUACUAGAUUUGGAGCAAUAGAGAUUAGCAUGGCCCCUGUGUGAGAUUGGCAUGCAUAUCUGUGAAGUGUUGCAAGUUUAA